UUCUAAUAAAGUAUAAAGAAAAAAUUGAGGUUGAAAGAUCAAUAUGAGAAAAUUUCAAUAAUUUAAUUUUUUUACUUGGGGGUGGUAAUCCCAAAUUCCAAUAAUUUAAGGCACAAAGAAAGAUGUCUAUUACUGUCAGGAGUUGGGAGUUGGGCCAAAGAAAGACGGAUUUGUUUCCGAACGAGUUUAAAGAAUUGGAGCCUGUUAGCAUCUUGUUUGUAACGUUUAAAAUUUUGGAGAGAAGUGUUGAAAUUAGGUUAUUGGGUCAUCUUAAUGAGGUUAUAAUUGCUAUUUGAUUCAAACAAAAAAUGUAUGUAAAUAUGGAUGCUGUGUGGAAUAAGAACAAUUUGUGGAAAAGUAGAAAUGAUGGGUUGGAAAGAAAGUGAAAAACAACUUUGGAUAAAAUCAUGUCAAUAUGAAGCCAUCACCAGGUCAAUUAAUACUGAGAGAAGGUGGAAUAGAACUAAUGAAAUAAUAUAAAUCUGCUCUUUAACAACAUUACCUAAAAAUACAAGUAGUAAAUUCCAAUUUGAUUUCGUUAAAAUCAAUGAGGUUAAGGCCGUAUAGAACGUGUUUAUGGUCAACAAAAAAUUGAAUUUCUACUACUAUGCGUCGACAAAAAGGAAUCACAAGUCAAAGAUCUCCAACGUAUAAAAUGUAAUCCCUCAGGGACUAUAGAAUACUAAAUUAAUUAUUAUGAUGAAUGGACUAUAAGUGUGAAUAAGAAAAAUAUUGAUGACAUGCAACAAAUUCCAAUCUAUACAUAUAAGGAGACGUUAAAGAAUUAUUAUUAUUGAGAAAAGAAGAAUUUUACAUUAAGAUUAAGAUCUAUUUUAUAAAUAGUUAA